CUGUCUCUCCCCGGUUGAGAAUAAACAAAUUAAAAGAAAAAAAUUUCAAACUCUGUGACCGAGUUAGCGAGUCACGGACAGUGAGUGACAGUGACAUGGAUGAUGGGAAUAGAGACUAAGGUAGAAAUAAAGAAAAAGGUAGGAAAAGAGAUAGAAAUGGAGAGGGCUUUUCAAUGAAGAGAAGAAUGAAUGAUAUCUUGGAUGAGUUUGGAUGGCUAGAUAGGAGGAGACCUCAAGGCCAAGUUGAUUUAUUUUCUAUGAAUUCACGGGUAAGCAAGUGAUUUGAUAGAGAUGAGGAGAAAUUUAUUUUUCAGAGAAAGAAAGAUAACAAUAUCGACUUAAUGAAUGGAAAAAGAGGAGAUAGAGGGGUGGAUUCAGGGUUAGGAACGAUGAGAAAAGGUUAAGGAGACAAAAGGGUUCUCAUAUUGAUAGGAUGACAAGGACAAUUGUGAUGACAACGGAGAUGAGAGAAAGGAGUUAAUGGGUUGUCUUUAGGAUUUGGCUUUUCCGGCCUCCAGCGAGUUCUAGUGGGUAAGCUUAAUAUCAAAUCGCUCUUCCCUCAUCGCUGAGUUGCUAUCUAGCCUUCUUUUGGUUGAUCGAUGCACCUGGAGAGCAGAUUGAAACUUCAAAGGUCCUAUAGUUUUCCUCUUUGCUUUUUCCAGCUAAGAUCGUUGUCUUCUAACUAAAUCAGAGCUCGAUAUAGUUUUGAGAUUCUGGCCAACCUGUACAAUGGCAAUGACAGUGUCUCCGAUGAAGGAAAGUGAGCAAUACCAUUUUCGAGCUCUGAAUUGCACAAAGGGAGAGGAUAGAGGAUGGUAUUGAGGUCAUCUCAACCCCUUUGAAUUUUUAGUCCUUGUGGCACUCCACGUAGGAUCUUAUUUAGUGCCUAAGAAGCAAAAAGCAUAUGAACAAGUGAAACCCAACCAUCCCACAGGGAUUUUGGAUUAUUUACAUGUACAAAAUACGUUUAAUUAUUAAAAAAAAAAGAAUUUAUUUAUCAGAUUAUUAACUUUUUACGUUCAUACAUCAAAUAAAAACUUUUGUAAAUCUUAUAAACUAAAAUUGUAAUUAUCCUAAUUGAAAAGGAUACCUAUGCAUACGUGUUUGUAGGGGUGGCCACGGUUCUGGAACCGAACUGAAAAUUAACGGUUUCAGUUACGGUUUGGAACCGAACGGUUUCGGUUUCGGUUUUGAUUCCUCAAUGGUUCCAAAAUCGACG